rnacentral:miRNA from 1 species
CCGGCAUGUCCAGGGCA